UAAAUAGUUUUUUUAAAGAAUUGUUGAAAAAGGCUAGCAGAAUUCUUUGAUUGACUGUGUGGCAGGCCCUGUGCUAAGGGCUUCGCUGACCCAGGCAUUUUGCUGCCCCCACUUCAGAGAGGGGGAACCUGAUGCUCAGAGCUAAAAUGAUUUGCCAGGAAACACCAAUUUGGUUGACAGGAGGUGGCGGAGCUCAGAUGCAAAGCUAGGGCUGCCUGACUUCAGAGCCCACACACUUAGGUAGCCUGGAACUUACACUUGGCUUAGAAUUCAAACCUGUAGAGGUCUUUUAUUGGUGCAGUGAUGCUCAGUAAUUUGUACAUAUUUUUAAAAUUGUUUUUCUUUGUCAGUUUCUAAGUAACUGGUAAAAUUUAAGUUAAGGUACCAGUUAAGGGUACUUAAGAUAAUAUUUUUACGACUGGAAGUCCUCAUUAAAAAAAUUUAAAAUGUUUUAUAGUGCAACACUAUCAAAACAAAACUCAUUUUUAAAAACUUGACUAUGGAAGUUUUCAAAACUACACAACAAUAAAGAGAGCAGUACAG